rnacentral:rRNA from 1 species
UUUGACCUCAGAUCAGGCAAGACUACCCGCUGAAUUUAA